AUACGGAGGGUGCAAGCGUUACUCGGAAUCACUGGCGUAAAGCGCGCGCAGGCGGCUAUUUAAGUUGGAUGUGAAAGCCUACGGCUCAACCGUAGAACUGCAUCCAAAACUAUUUAGCUAGAGUGUGGGAGAGGAAGAUGGAAUUAGUUGUGUAGUGGUAAAAUCCGUAGAGAUAACUAGGAAUACCAAAAGCGAAGGCAAUCUUCUGGAACACUACUGACGCUGAGGCGCGAAAGCGUGGGGAGCAAACGGGAUUAGAAACCCCAGUAGUCC
rnacentral:rRNA from 1 species